rnacentral:tRNA from 1 species
UGGCUCAAAUGGUAAAGCGUCUGCCUGCAGUGCGGGAGACCCAGGUUCGAUCCCUGG